rnacentral:snoRNA from 1 species
ACGGAGGUGAGGAUCCUUUCCCCAGCUGAUCGACUAUAAUUAUAGUGUGCUCAAAUGUAAUCCUUUAUGAGAGAUUCCAAGCGACAAAAAAAAAAAGAUCCAU